rnacentral:lncRNA from 1 species
GAGCGUCUCUGCCCGGCCGCCCAUCGUCUCAGAUGUGGGGGGCGCCUCUGCCCCGCCGCCCCAUCUGGGAUGUGAGGAGUGCCUCUGCCCAGCCGCGACCCCGUCUGGGAGCUAAAAUUCAAGUAAUGGACUAUUUGGAUGAUAGUGUGCCCGGAAUUGGUUCCUUCCGGUGGAUUCUUGGUCUCGCUGACUUUAACAAUGAAGCCUCAGACCAUCGCGCACAGUCCAGUGCUAAGACAGGGCAUGAGGACCAGCUCCACUGGAAACACCAGCCAGCGUCUUAACCGGGGAGGAAGGAAGGUGUGUGCUGGGCAAGUGGGGCAUGUGACAGAGUGGAACUGAAGUGGCCGUCGCUUGCCUUUAGGCCAGCAGGUUCCUCAGCAGCCUUUGCUCAUAGGCUGGCUUAACUAUGAUCCUGCUGUGGGAAGAUAAAAAAACUGACCGAAGGAGAUAGGCUGAGUAAUGGCUCCCUCAAGAUGUCCAUAUUUCAUCCCUGGAACCUGUGAAUACAUUACUUUAUGUGGCAAAAGGGACUUUGUGGCUGUGAUUAAACUAAGAACCUUGAAAUGAGGAGAUUCUCCGGGAUCGUCCAGAUGCAUCAAAUGUAACAAGAAGGAGUCAGAGUCAGGCUGGAAGCCGCUAUGCUGCUGGCUUUGAAGG